rnacentral:rRNA from 1 species
AGUUUGAUCAUGGCUCAGAUUGAACGCUGGCGGCAGGCCUAACACAUGCAAGUCGAGCGGUAACAGAAAGUAGCUUGCUACUUUGCUGACGAGCGGCGGACGGGUGAGUAAUGCUUGGGAACAUGCCUUGAGGUGGGGGACAACAGUUGGAAACGACUGCUAAUACCGCAUAAUGUCUACGGACCAAAGGGGGCUUCGGCUCUCGCCUUUAGAUUGGCCCAAGUGGGAUUAGCUAGUUGGUGAGGUAAUGGCUCACCAAGGCGACGAUCCCUAGCUGGUUUGAGAGGAUGAUCAGCCACACUGGGACUGAGACACGGCCCAGACUCCUACGGGAGGCAGCAGUGGGGAAUAUUGCACAAUGGGCGCAAGCCUGAUGCAGCCAUGCCGCGUGUGUGAAGAAGGCCUUCGGGUUGUAAAGCACUUUCAGUCAGGAGGAAAGCGUGGUGGUUAAUACCCAUCAUGUGUGACGUUACUGACAGAAGAAGCACCGGCUAACUCCGUGCCAGCAGCCGCGGUAAUACGGAGGGUGCGAGCGUUAAUCGGAAUUACUGGGCGUAAAGCGUACGCAGGCGGUUUGUUAAGCGAGAUGUGAAAGCCCCGGGCUCAACCUGGGAACUGCAUUUCGAACUGGCAAACUAGAGUGUGAUAGAGGGUGGUAGAAUUUCAGGUGUAGCGGUGAAAUGCGUAGAGAUCUGAAGGAAUACCGAUGGCGAAGGCAGCCACCUGGGUCAACACUGACGCUCAUGUACGAAAGCGUGGGGAGCAAACGGGAUUAGAUACCCCGGUAGUCCACGCCGUAAACGAUGUCUACUAGAAGCUCGGAGCCUCGGUUCUGUUUUUCAAAGCUAACGCAUUAAGUAGACCGCCUGGGGAGUACGGCCGCA